UACAGGGGGUGCAAACGUUGCUCGGAAUCAUUGGGCGUAAAGAGCUCGUAGGCGGCUUGUCGCGUCGACUGUGAAAACCCGCGGCUCAACCGUGUGGCGGGCAGUUGAUACGGGCAGGCUAGAGUUCGGUAGGGGAGACUGGAAUUCCUGGUGUAGCGGUGAAAUGCGCAGAUAUCAGGAGGAACACCGGUGGCGAAGGCGGAUCUCUGGGCCUGUCCUGACGCUGAGGCGCGAAAGCUAGGGGAGCGAACAGG
rnacentral:rRNA from 1 species